rnacentral:lncRNA from 1 species
CAUUUUCCUCUCUAGAUUUGGGAAGUUUUCUGUUUUCUUUUAAAAAGCUUUUUUCUAUUUUAUUUGUUUCUCUACUCCUGCAACUCUCAUAAUGCAUAUAUCGAUUUGCUUGAUGGCAUUGCAUAUAUCCUGUCUGCUUUUGUCACUCUUUUUCAUUCAUUGUUCCUUUUGUUCCUCUGACUGAUUUCACAUGACCUUUGAGUUCACUUUUUUCUUUUGUUUGAUGGAGUCUGCUGUUGAAGCAGUCUAUGGAAUUUUUCAUUUCAAUUAUUCUGUUAUUCAGCGUCAAAAAUUCAAUUUUGUUCUUUUUUAUGUUUAAUAUUUCUUUGUUAAACUUAUGAUUUUGUUUGUGUCUUGUUUUCUUGGUUUUGUUUGAUUAUUUAUCUGUGUUUUUCUGUAGUUCAUUGAUCCUCUGUAAGAAGCUUUUGAAAAUUCUUUGUUGGGGAUGUUUGGAUUUCAUUUUCUUUAAGGUUGUUUACUGCUGCUUUAUUUUCUCUUUUCCUUUGCUGGUUUUAAGUUUCCCUAAUUAUUCAUAAUCCUGUGGCCUAGCAUUAGUAUUUACACAUAUAAAAAAGUAGGAACCUUUUCCAUUCUUUUUUCACUGGAUUUGGCAGAGAAUCUUUCUCAAGUCAGCCCAUCCAGACAUUCUGGGUGGGCCCACUGGCAGGGACCACAGGUGAGCUUGCUGCUAGAGUCCUCGGACUGGCUUUCCUAGUGCUAAGGUCAGCAGGCAUGUGGGCCUGGCUACUAGGUCCACAGGAGCUAACCUAAUGUCUUUGUCUACAGGAGCAAGCCUGGAGCCUGGGCCAAGUGAUGCAGUUCCAGUUCCUUCAUCACCUUCGGGUUUCACUUUGUCAUCCAGGAGACUGGAGUGCAGCAGCAGGAUCUUCGCUCAAUGUAACCUGAACCUCUAGGGCUCAAGUGAUUCUCCCAUUUCAGCCUCUCAAGUAGGUGGGAUGACAGGUUUGUGCCACCAUGCCCAGCUAAUUAUUUUAAUUUUUGUAGAUACAGGGUUUCACCAUGUUGCCCAGGCUGUUUCACAUUGUUUUAAUCCAGGCUAGCUAUGAACUCCUGGACUCAAGCAAUCCACACACAUUGGCCCUCCCAAAGCACUGGGAUUACAGGCGUGAGCCACUGCACCCAGCCUCUACAUCAUGACUUCUUUCAUGGUGAGUAAGGUGACUGGAACAAGUGUAGGAUUUACCACGUGUCUUACAUACAAAAAAUAUAAAUUUUUUUAAAAAGCCAGGCAUGGUGGCCUGCACUUGUAGUCCCAGUUACUCCCGAGACUGGGGUGAGAGGAUCGUUUGAGUCUGGGAGGUCAAGGCUGCAGUGAGCCAUGAUUGUGCCACUGCACUCCAGCCUGAGUGACAGAACAAGACCUUAUCUCAAAAAUAAAUAAAUAAAUAAAUUUCAAAAUAAAAACUAUCUCUAGAACUUUAAGAGAGAAAAUACGUCUUUGUAGAAUCCUACAUAGCUUGGAAGUUUCUAAGGUUAAAAUACUAAUUAUAAAGAAAUCCUUAUCUUCUGCAAUUAGAAGGUGAGUUUGGAGUCCAGUUAGCUUGUCUCCCUUUGUCUUCCUAUGUUCCUGGAUACUCUGAGACCCUCUCCCCAAGUGAUCAGAUGCCCCAUAUGGUCACUCAUGUCAACAAAGGGACUGUAAAUAGUGAUUUAAAAAAAAAAAAAAAAAAAAAAAAAACAACUUUUGCCAGAAAGGUGUAUGUGAGUUCUGAAUAAAAAAGUCUGGUCAAGAUUGCUCGCUCACUCACAUAUUUAGGGGAUGUAGUGUUCUCAAUAAUUCAGUACUCUAAUUCCCUAUUGUCUAUUACUACCAAUGUAUGGACAUCUAUAUUUAAAACAAAAUGAAUUAAAUAAAACUAAAUUAUGAAUUCAAUAAGUUGAAUUUAAUUUUAUAAAUUCAAUUCAAUUCAGUAGCCACAUUUCAAAUGCUCAAUAGCCACAUGUGUAUUACAUUGCAUAAAGGAACUUUUCAUACUUACCGAAGUUUCUACUGAACAGCACUGAUCAAAUUAUCUAAUAUCAACCAGAAAAAUGUUCUGUUUUAACUUAAAUGCACUUUUCAUGUACCUUUUGAUGAUAGCUGAUCCUGGCUUGUUUGACAAUUACUAAUUUAAAGGUAAACUUAAAUUUCAAGGUUAAAGUAGAAUGAGGAUUGCAUUGAAUCCAGCCCAUGUCUUGGAAUUUUCUCCUUUGAAACAACAAUGAGAAUAACAAAAUUCUGUCCUCCAAAACCAACAAAAGACAAGUACUGUCUCUACCUUGUUCUAUAAAAC